ensembl:misc_RNA 7SK 7SK RNA
GGAUGUGAGGGUGAUCUGGCUGUGACAUCUGUCACAUCAUGGAUCGCCAGGGUUGAUCUGGCUGAUCUGGCUGGCUAGGUGGGUGUCCUCUUCCCUUACCUCUCCCUGUGCGUCUUUCCAGAAGCUGCAUACUCGGUCGAAGAGGACAGACUUUCCCAAAUAGAGAUGGACUGGUCUUUGUUCGCGGGGUAUAGGAGUAGCUGAGCUCCCCUGCUAGAACCUCCAAACAAGCUCUCAAGAACAGGAAAGCCGUCAGGGGGAGGGGACGGGAUACGGAAUUCUGGUGGUGGGAAUUGUGUGGAGUUGUACCCCUCUUAUC